rnacentral:rRNA from 1 species
GACGAACGCUGGCGGCGUGCUUAACACAUGCAAGUCGAACGGUAAGGCCCUUCGGGGUACACGAGUGGCGAACGGGUGAGUAACACGUGGGUGAUCUGCCCUGCACUUCAGGAUAAGCCUGGGAAACUGGGGCUAAUACCGGAUAGGACCACUGCCUGCAUGGGUGGAGGGGGAAAGCUUUUGCGGUGUGGGAUGGGCCCGCGGCCUAUCAGCUUGUUGGUGGGGGGAUGGCCUACCAAGGCGACGACGGGUAGCCGGCCGGAGAGGGUGACCGGCCACACUGGGACUGAGAUACGGCCCAGACUCCUACGGGAGGCAGCAGUGGGGAAUAUUGCACAAUGGGCGCAAGCCUGAUGCAGCGACGCCGCGUGAGGGAUGACGGCCUUCGGGUUGUAAACCUCUUUCAGCACCGACGAAGCGCAAGUGACGGUAGGUGCAGAAGAAGGACCGGCCAACUACGUGCCAGCCGCCGCCGUAA